CCCCUGUCCACAGCACCCCAAACCCCCGUUAAGCCAUCUCUUGACUAGGACACUCCCCCUGUCCACAGCACCCCAAACCCCCGUUAAGCCAUCUCUUGACUUGGACACUCCCCCUGUCCACAGCACCCCAAACCCCCAUUAAGCCAUCUCUCGACUAGGUCUCACCAGCCAUGCCCAUAAGUCUACCCAAUACCACUAUCUAUCUACAGUUAGUCCGCCAUCACCCUUGAUUGGUUUCAUUAGAUCUGCGUUCUAUAUCAACGCGAAUGGUAUCAUCUUCAAUGUAAUCAUUGUCAUCAGAAAUGUUUUAUGAUGCAAAUGCAAGGAGCAACAACAUCAACAAUUGCAUAUAUCAACCCUCUCUCUACAAACCCACAUGGAGUGUUUUAGCGCCACCUAGAGGCUGUAGUGGUGUACUAUAGAUCGAAAGAGAGCAAAGCCACAACUACUGGACAUUAUAAUAUAUUAUUUUCAUAUUUGUUUCUAUUAUAUAAUUUUAGCAUGCUAUAUUAUUUUGAUAGCAUUUACAGAGACUAAGAUAAAUAACCCAAGAGAGAAAUGAUUUGCCUCCUGCUUGCUUGCUUGGCCUGGAUUUUAAACUCUCCUUAAAGUCUUUCUGAUACAGUAUUUUAUAGUUGUUAUAGAUGUCUGGGGGACAGUAAUUAUACUGUUAUAAAAAGUUUAUAUACUGUAAGUAUAUUUACUAUUAUAUAUAUAUAUAUAUAUAUAUAAUGACAAGUGAUCUAUGUCUCUACAGAUCUCUACUGGUGCCUUCAUGUCUCUAGCCAAGCCGGUGUUUACUAAAUAAAGUAUUGAGUGUGCGUCUGCACCCUUUUCCUUAUAUUAUAUGCAUUAGUUUUCCAGGGAAGCAGCCAUUGUCACAUAACUGAACGGAUGCAUCUAUAAGCAGCAAAGACUCAAUGACUUUGAUACCAGUAAAAUACUAAAACACGGUCGGUGAAUUGAAGAAGUGAAUCAAUGUCGUAACAAAGUGCCUCAUAGUCAAUUUUCCUUUAGAAACACUACUUUCCUUUAAAAACUACGACUAAGCCAUGUAGUAUCUAGAGUGUAUUGGUACCCCUUGCAUUAUGGGUAAUGUAGUACUACAUACACUAUGCUACACAACACAGAGAUGUCCUGUCAGAACUAGCGAGGUGGCCCUUGUCUACUAGUCUCUGAUGCUAAUCCAUAGCGAGGUGGCCCUUGUCUACUAGUCUCUGAUGCUAAUCCAUAGUGAGGUGGCCCUUGUCUACUAGUCUCUAAUGCUAAUCCAUAGCGAGGUGGCCCUUGUCUACUAGUCUCUGAUGCUAAUCCAUAGCGAGGUGGCCCUUUUCUACUAGUCUCUGAUGCUAAUCCAUAGCGAUGUGGCCCUUGUCUACUAGUCUCUGAUGCUAAUCCAUAGCGAGGUGGCCCUUGUCUAUUAGUCUCUGAUGCUAAUCCAUAGUGAGGUGGCCCUUGUCUACUAGUCUCUAAUGCUAAUCCAUAGCGAGGUGGCCCUUGUCUACUAGUCUCUGAUGCUAAUCCAUAGCGAGGUGGCCCUUGUCUACUAGUCUCUAAUGCUAAUCCAUAGCGAGGUGGCCCUUGUCUACUAGUCUCUGAUGCUAAUCCAUAGCGAGAUGGCCCUUUUCUACUAGUCUCUGAUGCUAAUCCAUAGCGAUGUGGCCCUUGUCUACUAGUCUCUGAUGCUAAUCCAUAGCGAUGUGGCCCUUGUCUACUAGUCUCUGAUGCUAAUCCAUAGCGAUAUGGCCCUUGUCUACUAGUCUCUGAUGCAAAUCGAUAGCGAGGUGGCCCUUGUCUACUAGUCUCUGAUGCUAAUCCAUAGCGAUGUGGCCCUUGUCUACUAGUCUCUGAUGCUAAUCCAUAGCGAUGUGGCCCUUGUCUACUAGUCUCUGAUGCUAAUCCAUAGCGAGGUGGCCCUUGUCUACUAGUCUCUGAUGCUAAUCCAUAGCGAGGUGGCCCUUGUCUACUAGCCUCUAAUGCUAAUCCAUAGAGAGGUGGCCCUUGUCUACUAGCCUCAUGCUAAUCCAUAGAGAGGUGGCCCUUGUCUACUAGCCUCUAAUGCUAAUCCAUAGAGAGGUGGCCCUUGUCUACUAGCCUCAUGCUAAUCCAUAGCACACAGUACAGAUCAAUGUUAUAUCACUGUGAUCAUCCCCAUUUCAACUCCUCAUGUGUUUCAGUAAGUCAAACCUCUGAUGUAAGAUACAAUGAACAGACACAUAACGUCUAAGAAUCUUGUCUACACUUCUCUCUCCUCCCCCUCCCUCCCUCCCUCCCUCCCUCCCUCCCUCCCUCCUUCAUUCCCUCCCUCCCUCCCUUCCCUCCCUCCCUCCCUCCCUCCCUCCCUCCCUCCCUCCCUCC
ensembl:lncRNA